GAUGAACGCUGGCGGCGUGCCUAAUACAUGCAAGUCGAGCGAACGGACGAGAAGCUUGCUUCUCUGAUGUUAGCGGCGGACGGGUGAGUAACACGUGGAUAACCUACCUAUAAGACUGGGAUAACUUCGGGAAACCGGAGCUAAUACCGGAUAAUAUUUUGAACCGCAUGGUUCAAAAGUGAAAGACGGUCUUGCUGUCACUUAUAGAUGGAUCCGCGCUGCAUUAGCUAGUUGGUAAGGUAACGGCUUACCAAGGCAACGAUGCAUAGCCGACCUGAGAGGGUGAUCGGCCACACUGGAACUGAGACACGGUCCAGACUCCUACGGGAGGCAGCAGUAGGGAAUCUUCCGCAAUGGGCGAAAGCCUGACGGAGCAACGCCGCGUGAGUGAUGAAGGUCUUCGGAUCGUAAAACUCUGUUAUUAGGGAAGAACAUAUGUGUAAGUAACUGUGCACAUCUUGACGGUACCUAAUCAGAAAGCCACGGCUAACUACGUGCCAGCAGCCGCGGUAAUACGUAGGUGGCAAGCGUUAUCCGGAAUUAUUGGGCGUAAAGCGCGCGUAGGCGGUUUUUUAAGUCUGAUGUGAAAGCCCACGGCUCAACCGUGGAGGGUCAUUGGAAACUGGAAAACUUGAGUGCAGAAGAGGAAAGUGGAAUUCCAUGUGUAGCGGUGAAAUGCGCAGAGAUAUGGAGGAACACCAGUGGCGAAGGCGACUUUCUGGUCUGUAACUGACACUGAUGUGCGAAAGCGUGGGGAUCAAACAGGAUUAGAUACCCUGGUAGUCCACGCCGUAAACGAUGAGUGCUGAGUGUUAGGGGGUUUCCGCCCCUUAGUGCUGCAGCUAACGCAUUAAGCACUCCGCCUGGGGAGUACGACCGCAAGGUUGAAACUCAAAGGAAUUGACGGGGACCCGCACAAGCGGUGGAGCAUGUGGUUUAAUUCGAAGCAACGCGAAGAACCUUACCAAAUCUUGGCAUCCUUUGACAACUCUAGAGAUAGAGCCUUCCCCUUCGGGGGACAAAGUGACAGGUGGUGCAUGGUUGUCGUCAGCUCGUGUCGUGAGAUGUUGGGUUAAGUCCCGCAACGAGCGCAACCCUUAAGCUUAGUUGCCAUCAUUAAGUUGGGCACUCUAAGUUGACUGCCGGUGACAAACCGGAGGAAGGUGGGGAUGACGUCAAAUCAUCAUGCCCCUUAUGAUUUGGGCUACACACGUGCUACAAUGGACAAUACAAAGGGCAGCGAAACCGCGAGGUCAAGCAAAUCCCAUAAAGUUGUUCUCAGUUCGGAUUGUAGUCUGCAACUCGACUACAUGAAGCUGGAAUCGCUAGUAAUCGUAGAUCAGCAUGCUACGGUGAAUACGUUCCCGGGUCU
rnacentral:rRNA from 1 species